CCGGCACACGUUGAGUGCAGCCGCUUGCCUGUAACGCAACGCUCUGGGGGUUCCCUAUCUGCCCUCUACGUUGGUAGAGGAGGCUCUGAAAAGGGCUUUAGAACGUACUAAUGCUGCUUACGCCCACACCAAGGAGAGGGUGAAGACAUCUCUGUCGGAGGGUGCUCUGAG